GUCUACGGCUAUGCUACCCUGAAUAAGCCCGAUCCUGUCUGAUCUCGGAAGCUAAGGAGGGUCGGGCCUAGUUAGUACUUGGAUGGGAGACCACCUAGGAAGACCAGGUGCUGUAAGUG
rnacentral:rRNA from 1 species